rnacentral:rRNA from 1 species
CCUACGGGUGGCACCAGUGGGGAAUAUUGCACAAUGGGCGCAAGCCUGAUGCAGCCAUGCCGCGUGUAUGAAGAAGGCCUUCGGGUUGUAAAGUACUUUCAGCGGGGAGGAAGGUGUUGUGGUUAACAACCACAGCAAUUGACGUUACCCGCAGAAGAAGCACCGGCUAACUCCGUGCCAGCAGCCGCGGUAAUACGGAGGGUGCAAGCGUUAAUCGGAAUUACUGGGCGUAAAGCGCACGCAGGCGGUCUGUCAAGUCGGAUGUGAAAUCCCCGGGCUCAACCUGGGAACUGCAUUCGAAACUGGCAGGCCAGAGUCUUGUGGAGGGGGGGUAGAAUUCCAGGUGUAGCGGUGAAAUGCGUCGAGAUCUGGAGGAAUACCGGUGGCGAAGGCGGCCCCCUGGACAAAGACUGACGCUCAGGUGCGAAAGCGUGGGGAGCAAACAGGAUUAGAUACCCGAGUAGUC